GUGACAGAAGACUUCAUGUCUUUGGUACUUGGUCUCUCCAGAGCAUCACUGGCUACAACUGGAAUUGCUUUGUGUUAAACAAGCAUAGCUUAGGAAUGAGUA